GAUAAGAACGUAGCGAAAUGCGAUACGUAAUGUGAAUUGCAGAAUUCAGUGAAUCAUCGAGUCUUUGAACGCACAUUGCGCCCCCUGGUAUUCCGGGGGGCAUGCCUGUCCGAGCGUCAUUGCUGCCCUCAAGCACGGCUUGUGUGUUGGGCCUCCGUCCUCCUCCCGGGGGACGGGCCCGAAAGGCAGCGGCGGCACCGCGUCCGGUCCUCGAGCGUAUGGGGCUUCGUCACCCGCUCUUGUAGGCCCGGCCGGCGCUUGCCGACACAUCAAUCUUUUUUCCAGGUUGACCUCGGAUCAGGUAGGGAUACCCGCUGAACUUAAGCAUAUCCAAUAAGCGGAGGA
rnacentral:misc_RNA from 1 species